GACAGGAGUCGAAGGACUAGAAU
rnacentral:piRNA from 1 species